GUGUCGGUGGCUCAGGGGUGUCAAGCACUUGACUUGCAAUCUGCAGGUCGUGGGUUCGAAUCCCGCCAUGUACC
rnacentral:tRNA from 1 species